rnacentral:tRNA from 1 species
AUAGUAGAAAUUAUAAUAAUAUUGGGAUUUGACCCCAAAAAUGACAGAUUUGUCCUUCUAAA